UAAGGAAUAUUGGUCAAUGGACGCAAGUCUGAACCAGCCAUGCCGCGUGGAGGAUUAAGGCCCUCUGGGUUGUAAACUCCUUUUAUCUGGGAAGAAAUGUACUUUUUCUUGAGUACUUGACGGUACCAGAGGAAUAAGCACCGGCUAACUCCGUGCCAGCAGCCGCGGUAAUACGGAGGGUGCAAGCGUUCUCCGGAUUCACUGGGUUUAAAGGGUGCGUAGGUGGGCAGGUAAGUCAGUGGUGAAAUCUCCGGGCUUAACCCGGAAACUGCCGUUGAUACUAUUUGUCUUGAAUAUUGUGGAGGUAAGCGGAAUAUGUCAUGUAGCGGUGAAAUGCUUAGAUAUGACAUAGAACACCAAUUGCGAAGGGAGCUUACUACACAAGCAUUGACGCUGAGGCACGAAAGCGUGGGGAUCAAACA
rnacentral:rRNA from 1 species